GAGUUUGAUCAUGGCUCAGAUUGAACGCUGGCGGCAGGCCUAACACAUGCAAGUCGAGCGGUAGCACAAGAGAGCUUGCUCUCUGGGUGACGAGCGGCGGACGGGUGAGUAAUGUCUGGGAAACUGCCUGAUGGCGGGGGAUAACUAGUGGAAACGGUAGCUAAUACCGCAUAACGUCGCAAGACCAAAGUGGGGGACCUUCGGGCCUCACGCCAUCAGAUGUGCCCAGGUGGGAUUAGCUGGUAGGUGGGGUAACGGCUCACCUAGGCGACGAUCCCUAGCUGGUCUGAGAGGAUGACCAGCCACACUGGAACUGAGACACGGUCCAGACUCCUACGGGAGGCAGCAGUGGGGAAUAUUGCACAAUGGGCGCAAGCCUGAUGCAGCCAUGCCGCGUGUGUGAAGAAGGCCUUCGGGUUGUAAAGCACUUUCAGCGAGGAGGAAGGGUAAUGUGUUAAUA
rnacentral:rRNA from 1 species